rnacentral:lncRNA from 1 species
GAGCUUGUCCAGCAUGCAGGAGGCCCUGGGUUCAGCCAAGGAGUCUGGGCUGAGUUUGGAGCCCAAGGCGAGCCCAGCUCGGGGCCUCUUUGGAGUUUGCUCCCUGCACAGGAAGGGCCUGCUCCCACUUGCCCAGAGGGGGCUGGUUCGUGGGGCAGUCGUUCCUGGAGUCUUUCUGUACUCUCCACUGCAGGUGGGGACUUGCCUGGCCUGAGUGUCCUUGCCUCAGUUCUCCAGCUGUGCCUGGGGUGGGCAACUGCUGACUGAGGGGCGGGAGUAACACCCCUACUAGGCUUUGGCAAGGAAGGCAGCCUUCUUACCUAGAGCUACCCGGCUCCUGGGUGGAAAGAGAAGGCCAACAGCCCCCUGCCCCACCUGGAGUUCCUGCCCCCAGACAGGCACAGAGAACUCUUCCCCUUGGGUCCUCCCCAGGGCUGGCCCUGUCCGCCCUGCUGCUCUGACUGCCGAGGUCCUCCCCUGUGUCCUGCUCACCCCUGUUCUGUGCUGGCUUUCCCUUCAGGGCCAGCCCUGCCCUGUCCACUUCCACAGCUCCUUGUCAUAGUGAGUGUGUCGCUGAUAAGCAGCAGAGGUCGAGAGCUUUGCCUGCGAGGGAAGGAACAAAUGAAUGAGUGGGUUGUUCCAGGAGGUGACUGCAGAGCUCCAGGGGACGGCUGUCUCUGGUUGGGGCUGGUGCGUCAGCAUGUUGGAGGUUGAAGUAAGAACUCGCCCUGCACGUCGGACGGAGCUCAGGGGCUGUGGACUCCUAUGGUCCCUGCCCCUUCUCAUCUCCUGGGCUCCGACUGCGGCUGCUCCGACUCCACCUUUGCUGCGUGAAGCGGUCCAGAAGGUUCCCUUGGCCCCAUGGUCCUGUCUUGGUAGCCUUAAAAUUGUUUAUAAC